AGACCAUGGUGAGGGUAUUCUUGGAGUAGAUCCUUGAAUCUCUCCAUAAGUUUGGAAAAUAACUCACUAAACUUUUUCCUAAACUGAACGAUAUCACUUCUAAGCUU